UACGUAGGGUGCGAGCGUUAAUCGGAAUUACUGGGCGUAAAGCGUGCGCAGGCGGUUCGUUAUGUCCGAUGUGAAAGCCCCGAGCUCAACUUGGGAAUGGCAUUGGAAACUGGCGGGCUGGAGUGUGGCAGAGGGGGGUGGAAUUCCACGUGUAGCAGUGAAAUGCGUAGAGAUGUGGAGGAACACCGAUGGCGAAGGCAGCCCCCGGGGCCAACACUGACGCUCAGGCACGAAAGCGUGGGGAGCAAACAGG
rnacentral:rRNA from 1 species